UAGGGUAAAGGCCUACCAAGGCUACGACGGGUCGCUGGUCUGAGAGGACGACCAGCCACACUGGCACUGAGAUACGGGCCAGACUCCUACGGGAGGCAGCAGUGAGGAAUAUUUGCGCAAUGGGGGAAACCCUGACGCAGCAACGCCGCGUGUGGGAAGAAGGCCUUCGGGUCGUAAACCACUUUUGCACGGGACGAAAAAGGGAUAUCGAACAAAUAUCCCCGAUGACGGUACCGUGAGAAUAAGCCACGGCUAACUCUGUGCCAGCAGCCGCGGUAAGACAGAGGUGGCAAGCGUUGUUCGGAAUUACUGGGCGUAAAGAGUCUGUAGGUGGUUUGUCAAGUCUUUGGUGAAAGGCCGUAGCUUAACUAUGGGAAUGCCAAAGAGACUGGCAGGCUGGAGGCUGGGAGAGGGAAGCGGAAUUUCUGGUGUAGCGGUGAAAU
rnacentral:rRNA from 1 species